AUGAUUUGAGGAGAGGGGGCGAGCAAACCUUGCUGGAGAAGCAGGGCACGUGCUUGACCGGUCGGCCGGAGCCGGGUUGCAGCAUGUGCGCUCCUUCUCCAGCAUGGCUUCUCGCCCCGUCGACCGGCGUUCGGCAGG